rnacentral:lncRNA from 1 species
GUGUCCUCUGUUUUAUAUUCCUUAUGGGUGCCGUAUUUAUGUUAUGUCAUCUGCUUCUGUGCUUUACUAUGUGUUUGUGUGAUAUCUUGUGCCUUGAGCCGGGGGUCUUUCGGAAACAGCCUUUCUACUUCAUCAGAGGUAGAGGUAUGGACUGCGUACAUCUUACCCCCCCAGACCCCACUAAGUGGGAAUACACUGGGUUUGUUGUUG